CAAGAAGAUAGUUCUGUCUCCAUAGCCAUGUGAUAGACACUUAUCCGCUAGGAACUGGACUGAGACUGAGACACUGGCCCAGGAUCCUUGCCCUGUCCAUUUGCCUGUCUGCAGCCUGAGCUUUGGUGGGAUGUUGAGGAAGCAACAGUUGGGAACAGAUGGGUUUCGUUUGAUCAGGAGGCCUGGGACUGUCAGCAUUAGUUAGGGAAUUGACUCUCUCUUCCUUGUUCUGAUCCCCUUGCAGGGUCUGAGUAACACUGUUUGUGCUGCAGCUACUCAGUGGCACCUGCAGUUAACCAGUGGGAGAGAAGAACUUAUUAGGAUCUGCAAUGGAGAGACACAGGGACCAAGCACGGAAAUACUGAACAUCUUUUCCAUAAAAUACCAGAACUGGCCCAGCAGUUUCCAUUGAAAAUCCAGAGAAGUUUCAAAUGACAAAUUUGCCAGAGGAAUUCCCCAGCACACAGCCCAGCUGCGGAGGGGUUUAUAAUCACACAGCCAG